UACGAGGGGGGCAAAUGUUGUUCGGAAUCACUGGGCGUAAAGGGAGCGUAGGUGGUUCGUUAAGUCUGAUGUGAAAGCCCUGGGCUCAACCUGGGAAUGGCAUUGGAUACUGGCGGACUGGAGUGCGGUAGAGGAUGGCGGAAUUCCCGGUGUAGCAGUGAAAUGCGUAGAGAUCGGGAGGAACAUCUGUGGCGAAGGCGGCCAUCUGGACCAGCACUGACACUGAGGCACGAAAGCGUGGGGAGCAAACAGG
rnacentral:rRNA from 1 species